rnacentral:rRNA from 1 species
AGUGGCGGACGGGUGAGUAACGCGUGAGACUCUGCCUUGGGGUCGGGGACAACCACUGGAAACGGUGGCUAAUACCGGAUACGCCUUCGGGUAAAAGAUUUAUUGCCCUAAGAGGAGCUCGCGUCUGAUUAGCUAGUUGGUGAGGUAAGAGCUCACCAAGGCAGCGAUCAGUAGCUGGUCUGAGAGGACGAUCAGCCACACUGGGACUGAGACACGGCCCAGACUCCUACGGGAGGCAGCAGUGGGGAAUUUUCCGCAAUGGGCGAAAGCCUGACGGAGCAAGACCGCGUGAGGGAGGAAGGCUCUUGGGUUGUAAACCUCUUUUCUCAGGGAAGAAGCUCUGACGGUACCUGAGGAAUCAGCCUCGGCUAACUCCGUGCCAGCAGCCGCGGUAAUACGGAGGAGGCAAGCGUUAUCCGGAAUUAUUGGGCGUAAAGCGUCCGCAGGUGGCGAUUCAAGUCUGCUGUCAAAGCACGGGGCUUAACUCCGUAAAGGCAGUGGAAACUGAAUAGCUAGAGUGCCGUAGGGGUAGAGGGAAUUCCCGGUGUAGCGGUGAAAUGCGUAGAGAUCGGGAAGAACAUCGGUGGCGAAAGCGCUCUACUGGACGGCAACUGACACUCAGGGACGAAAGCUAGGGGAGCGAAUGGGAUUAGAUACCCC